GAUGAACGCUGGCGGCGUGCCUAAUACAUGCAAGUCGAGCGAACAGACGAGGAGCUUGCUCCUCUGACGUUAGCGGCGGACGGGUGAGUAACACGUGGAUAACCGACCUAUAAGACUGGGAUAACUUCGGGAAACCGGAGCUAAUACCGGAAAAUAUAUUGAACCGCAUGGUGCAAUAGAGAAAGAUGGUUUUGCUGUCACUUAUAGAUGGAUCCGCGCCGCCUUAGCUAGUUGGUAAGGUAACGGCUUACCAAGGAAACGAGGCGUAAACGACCUGAGAGAGUGGUCGGCCACACUGGAACUGAGACACGGUCCAGACUCCUGCGGGAGGCCGCAGUAGGGAAUCUUCCGCACUGGGCGAAAGCCUGACGGAGCAACGCCGCGCGAGUGAUGAAGGUCUUCGGAUCGUAAAACUCUGUUAUUAGGGAAGAACAAAUGUGUAAGUAACUAUGCACGUCUUGACGGUACCUAAUCAGAAAGCCACGGCUAACUACGUG
rnacentral:rRNA from 1 species